GGACUUGUGGUGUAGUGGUUAUCACGUCUCGUUUACACCGAGAAGGCCGCAGGUUCGAGCCCUGCCAAGUUCA
rnacentral:tRNA from 1 species